CUGUUUUGGCACUAGAUAUAUUAAAAUUGGAACAAUGUAAAGAAGAUGAGGCCUUAUCCUUGAGCAAUGUGAUAUACAAAUCUGUGAAGUGGUCCAUGUAUUU
rnacentral:snRNA from 1 species